AAAACAGAGAUUGACACAGUGGUCACCCUUGUCCAUGUCUCUGGGAACGCGAAGCACAGAAUCAAAUAUCGCUGUGAUGAUUGUACGCUCUAGUAUCAAUUGUUUGGUGACAAUAAAAGUAAAGUAAAGUAAAGAUAAAGGAGCAUUUACUUCAGAAAUUGUCUCAUCUGUCAGGAACCUUUGCCCCGGAGUCUGGUGCUGAUAUUAUUGUGCCACCAAGUGGGACUAUUCUCUUCUCCUUUUUCAUAGCUGGCUUUACUGCAGUAAGUUUCAGCUUUUCAGCAAUGGCCAACAAGACGUCCUUUCUGGCAUCCCCUAAUACCUUAGGGGUUGGCGAUGUCAGAAAUGCAUCAAUAUCCAUUGCUGCUGGUUUCAACACACAAGUCAAACAAAAGGGAGAUAACCAAUCAGAUCGAUAAUCAAUCAAUCAAUCAAUAAGCUUCAAUUUUGUUCAUAUCCGGCAUGAGCCCCCAAUUUUGUUAUGUACAAGCAGCAAUAGAUCACAAAUUGAGUCAUGUCUCAAUGUUAAAACCAUUAUCUUUAUUAGUAUUACACACAAUAUAGAAAAUUAAAUGAAAUAAACAGAAGUUAACAAUG